AGUGAACGCUGGCGGUAGGCCUAACACAUGCAAGUCGAGCGGCAGCACAGUAAGAGCUUGCUCUUACGGGUGGCGAGUGGCGGACGGGUGAGGAAUACAUCGGAAUCUACUUUUUCGUGGGGGAUAACGUAGGGAAACUUACGCUAAUACCGCAUACGACCUACGGGUGAAAGCAGGGGAUCUUCGGACCUUGCGCGAUUGAAUGAGCCGAUGUCGGAUUAGCUAGUUGGCGGGGUAAAGGCCCACCAAGGCGACGAUCCGUAGCUGGUCUGAGAGGAUGAUCAGCCACACUGGAAGUGAGACACGGUCCAGACUCCUACGGGAGGCAGCAGUGGGGAAUAUUGGACAAUGGGCGCAAGCCUGAUCCAGCCAUACCGCGUGGGUGAAGAAGGCCUUCGGGUUGUAAAGCCCUUUUGUUGGGAAAGAAAAGCAGCAGGUUAAUACCCCGCUGUUCUGACGGUACCCAAAGAAUAAGCACCGGCUAACUUCGUG
rnacentral:rRNA from 1 species